CCCCAGCUUCAGAGAGCUCCUAAGACCGACAAGAGAUGUUUCGGUGAAAGUGGUUUGGAGACAGACGCAGCUUUGCAAACAGGGUGCAGACGAACGGUGCUGGAUGGAGCUGGGUUUUGCUCGCGAGCUGAGCCCGGCCAUAAUGCCACCUGCGUUAUGCAUCUAGACCUGUUCUGUCUAGAUAAGUAGCCCUCUAGAUAGGUAUCGAUCAUUAAAGGCAUUGUGUCUGAGGAGCACCCCCCGGUGAAACCCCAAAAACCUCAAAUGAGAAGGCAUACGUCUGGUGACUUUUUACCCCAGACAGGAAAAUGAGACGCAAAGAGCAUAAAUUGCUGAAGGAGAGAGAGGAGUUAGAAGGAGGAGAGCCAUGUUCUUCCUGGACGGGGCUGAAUGGUGGCCUCCGAAAAGGGUUUGUGGUGCUUUGUUACAGCAGCCACAGGAAACUAAUGCACACUCGUUUCUUCGGGGGAUUAUCACGCAACCAGUAAAUCUGGCUACGCGGCAACUGAACCGAAGCAGAACGAUAUGAUCGGUCAGCAUUAUCAUGCUUUUCAGGCUGUCCUGUUUCCUCCCCUUGGAGCCUCCUGUGGAGCACACGCUGUUAUUAUCCUGACUUCACAGGCAAACAAACUAAGGCAAUGCUGUAGGUAACUCGCCAAGGUCACCGGCGGGCAGGUGGGAGUGCCCUAAGUGGCCUUCCUAGGCCCCCGAAGUCAGGUGACGGGAAGAGCGUGAGGUCUAUUGGCCGAGCAGCAGCAGGAGGUUGGGCACUGAACCAAAAACGGGGGGACGAAAGCGUGUCACCUUAACCCUGUGAAGGGCCCGCCUUCUCCCCUGGGCCAGAAUUGUCCAGAGGAAGCCAUGGCAUGCCCACCUGAUGGAAUGGUGUGCACCCAUCGAAGACGGCCUUCUGAAGCCUGUAGCAUCAUGGGAAAGGAUGAUGUUGCCAAGCGAACAACGCUCCCUGCAGAAUUGCCUCUGUGCAGGGUCGCCCCCCUGGCAAUGUGACGUGUGCACGUGGGUGUAGCAGGAGGGGACUCUUGAGCCACGUGGCUCCCCACACCGUCUCUGGUCAGAUGUCCUUGCCUUUAAGCAUGCCCCACUUGAUGGCCCCGGGGCUGGUCACCUGGCCCCAGGUUCGCCAGCCAGCGGUUCCCUUAGGAAUACAGAGUAGUGAUUCCUCGGGUGCCUGGAGCUUGGGUGCUGUGCACUCACGCGAGGGAGCUGUGGGUCGCGUACGCUGCUCAAAAGGACUGAAGCCAUCAGAGAAGCUGCUGUGCAGAGACAGAGACUGAGAAUCAGGAAGCAGAUGUACAGAGAGGGAGAGACAGUCACAGCAGGCGCCCAACACCCAGGGACUGGGAGCCAGAUGCUCAGAGGCUUGACAACCUCAGGGAGUCCAGACUCACCUUCCAGAGCGGCCCCUCCACCCCUCAUGUCAGCAGACAUGGGGGUUCAGCCUGGAUCGGUCCAUCCCGUGCGCUGAUGAAAGGGCAAUGGUGCAAAAUUCGUUGGGGAGAAAAACAGGAAGUGGAGCCUGAGAGCAAGGCUGCAGAAACGCUCCCCGGGCGUUGGCCGCCCUUCCACCCGCAGCCUUACAGGAAAGUGGCGAGGGGGCAGCCCCAGCCCGGGCUGUGGGGGCGUGGGGUGGGGGUGCUGGUGGGAGAGUCCAGGAAAGACCCUUCCGCUGUAUUUUUAGGGGCUGUGUCUUGUAGAGCAAACGCUACAUCUGUGUCCUGCACUUGACAUCUCCUCUCACCUGUUCACAGCGGCUCCUCAAGGUUAGUACGCCCACCCCCGUUUACAGACGGGCCAACAGACUCAGAGAGGUUAAGCGACUCGGCCAAGGCCACACAGCCUUUCCCACGGCCGGGUCAUGGCUCCUUGAUUCUUUCUCAGACUUUGAUUUCUAUUUGUGGUGUGUUUUUGUUCUGGGCCUGUGAGCGGACAGGGGGGCGGGGGGAGGGCGGAGGGGGAGCACUGUUUCUGGCUCCUUGGUCUGAGCACAUCGGAACGGGUGGUAAGAAAAGGCUGCCGACUGACGGCUCAUCCCUUGAGGGCCUGUUUCCUGCAAUGUGUGAGCGGGAAGGUCCAAGUGCCCUGGUUCCUUUGUUAAGAGACGGGGGUGGUGGUACCAGGGAGGGGGUUCGGCCGGCUGACAGCCCAAAGGACUCAGAACUCCAGAUGAGUCCAGAACCCUCUUUCCCUUUCAAGCCGGGGACUCCGGGUAGCCCCAGUCCUCUAGCUUCACACCUGACAGGCAUCGUCAGAAUGAGAGCAAGGAGAAGAGGUACCCAGGCAGGGGUGAGGUCAAGGAGCGGGGAGACAACGCCCCGAAGGCCCCCCCCCCACCGGAGCCCUCACUUGGACCCCAGCUCUCCCGGCCCCGGGACACGACGUCCAGGUCCCCGUCAUCCCACAGAGUCGCAGAUGGAGCCCCCCAGGCCCACGGAACCUGGCCACCUGUACAGAAGGCCCCGCGGCCCCCCACCCCCCAUCUCUGAGGUCGAAACCACAGUGUCGUGCUGUGGCCUUCACUCACCCGUCACGACAGGGGUCCCUUUCCCAGAAGCCUCUGGGGGCUGCCAGACCACAGCAGAAGCCAGGCCGGGCUGCUGGGUUGCAGACUGCAAACGAGAGAGGCCCUCCGGCCUUCAGCCUCAAAGGCAUGCCCGCCCCUUUCUGCCCUCUUUGGAUGGCAGUCCCCCCCAGUACCGAGCAGCACCCCGGGGCCAGCGGGAUGCCUCCUUCCCUUCGCAGAGGAGACCCAGCCUCGGGUCGCAAGCCGCUCCACGUAGAAGGGAGCUAUUAUGGGGGCACCUGGCUGGAGCCUGCAACUCUUGACGUCAGGGCUGUGAGCUCAAGCCCCACAUUGGGUAUGGAGCCCACUUAAAAUAAAUUAAGAAAUAAAUUAAAUAAAUAACGUGAGGUGUUCUAUGUAAAGCGGUUAGAACAAUGCCCGGCCCUUAGUAAGAGCUCAAGACAGGGCACCUGGGGGGCUCAGUCCGUUAAGCAUCGGGCUCUUGGUUUCACCCAGCUCAUGAUCUCACCGUUGGUGGAUUUGAGCCCCACGCCGGGCUCCGUAUUGACAAUGCAGAGCCUGCUUGGGAUUCUCUCUCCCCCCCUCUCUCUGCCCCUCCAUGCUCUCGCUCUCUCUCUCUCUCUCAAAAUAAAUAAACUUAAAAAAAAAAGCUCAAUAUAUGUAUAUCACCAUCACCACGUGAUUUAAUCUCUGCAACACCCCUGCGAGGUCGGGAUUACGCUGCUAUUUGCAGACGAGGAAACUGAGGCAGACGUGAAGCCACAUGCCUCCGUUCAGGCAGUAUUAAGUGGCUGAGUACGGAUCGAAGGCUAAGUCUGCUGGGGGCUCGGGCUGCCAGUGCCCUCUGGUCCGGAGGCCAGCUUUGGGUGUACCCCACCCCCACCCCCAAAGGAGCGCAGGGUGGGACGCGAGGCUGCUCCCGACAAAGACGCAGAGGUGGGUCCGGAGCGGGGCCACCCUCCAGUCCUCCCGCGGGGCGCUCAGCUCGGGGCCUCCCGCUCGGGCUCCAGGAAGGCAUGGGCGCCACCUGGUGGCGGCAGGAGGUCAACGCCACCACCGUCCCAUCGGCGCUCAGCGACGUCCCGCACGCGCUCCCGGCGGCGCGUUGGGCGAAGGCGCCGAGUAGCCCGCGCGCAGGCAAUUCCUUUUCCUCCUUGCCCAGGGUCCUCCGGGGGUGGGGACGUGCGCCUCCACCCCGGGGUUGCCGUGCUUGGGCUGCUGGUGAUUUGGGGGCACGUAUUGCAGCAGCGAAGCUCAUUUUGCUGAGAAUAUAUUGUACGUUCCCCCAGACUUCCUAUUCCUUUCUCAGUUCCUUCACGCAAGAGGCAGAUUGUUCCAGAGCCGCUCUCAGGCUGAGCUUGGUGCUGGGCCGCUCAGCCCGGCCUCUAGCUUCUAACCCUCCCAGCAGCUCCUGUGCCCAGAGAGGGGAGCCCUCCAGCGCUUCCCUCCCAGCUCCCCAGCUCCUCCCCAGCAGCCCUGUGGCAUCUCCACCUGGACGCUGGCAGUCCCCUCAACGGAAUCUGACCCCGGCCCAAUUUCCUGCCCAACCUAGCCCGGUCCUUCCCUUCCUUCCUGCCGCCGUGAAAGCGGUCCCUCUUAACACCCUGGCCAAAGCAGAAACCCGCCUCACGGUUCACUUCUCCCCUCUCCCCCGCUGUC